UACGAAGGGGGCUAGCGUUGCUCGGCAUUACUGGGCGUAAAGCGCGCGUGGGCGGGCCGUUAAGUCGGGGGUGAAAGCCUGGGGCUCAACCUCAGAAUUGCCUUCGAUACUGGCGGCCUGGAGCAUGAUAGAGGCGAGUGGAAUUCCGAGUGUAGAGGUGAAAUUCGUAGAUAUUCGGAGGAACACCAGUGGCGAAGGCGACUCGCUGGAUCAUUGCUGACGCUGAGGCGCGAAAGCGUGGGUAGCAAACAGG
rnacentral:rRNA from 1 species